UUUUUUUUUUUUUGAGACAGUCUUGCUCUGUUGCCCAGGCUGGAGUGCGGUGGCGCGAUCUUGGCUCACUGCAACCUCUGUCUCCCGGGUUCAAGCGAUUCUCCCGCCUCAGCCUCCCGAGUAGCUGGGAUUACAGGCGUGUGCCACCACACCCGGCUAAUUUUUGUAUUUUUAGUAGAGACAGGGUUUCACCAUGUUGGCCAGGCUGGUCUCGAUCUCCUGACCUCGUGAUCCACCUGCCUCUUCCUCCCAAAGUGCUGGGAUUACAGGCGUGGGCCACUACGCCCGGCCAGAACUAUUUCCAACAUACACAAAGUAAACAGAAUAGUAUAAGAAACCGUCAGGUUUAACAAGGACCAACAUUCUGCUAUUCUUGUUCCGCCCCCACCUUUUUGGAAUCAUUCCUAACAGAAAAUGUCACGAUUUUCCCUGUUUUCAGUCUGUCAAUCUUGUACCAGAAUAGGGUCAAUGAUUUUAACUGCUUUCUUCCACCAGGUAAGAGGAGGCAUUUUUGUGAGAAGAAAUAACACCCAGACACGUCUGCAAAGACUGAACACAUCAGCUGGGUUUUGAGCAGGAACAAAAGCAAUUAGUUUUCUAAGAAAUCCUAAUGACUUAAUUAUAAACAUCAGACCCUGCACUUCUGCUCAAUUGGCCCUUUGUCCCACUGCGGUGUCCUCAGAGACUUGUGCCUGAAGUGAAGCAGUCUCUGUUCCUAAGAUUCAUUUCAGUAAGAGCUGACAGUUAGGCAAUAAAUGUCUGUAAUAAAGUAAUAUAUGAAUUAUUUGAAGGUAGCGAUUCUCAACCGGGGGCAACUCUGCACCCUCCAGGGACACUUGGCAAUGACUCGAGACAUCUCUGAUUGCGACAACAGGGGAGGAGGGGACAGUACUGUUACUCUUAGUAACAGAGUUGCAAAUCCACAGAAGGACAGAGUGGUGCAGGAGUGGCUCCCUUGACAUGGAAAGUCAGCUACCUCACUGGAGUUCCUCUGAAAUGUUGGGGCUUUCCUACCAAACUUCUAACAACCGGUGUAAAACUGACCUUUCAAAGAGAAGAUGAAAAGGAGGGAGACCAGCCGCUGGGUGGGAAAGGCGUCUAGCUCACACCGCCAGAGCAUCUGCAUGGCUACGGUCAGGGCGAGCCGCCAGACACCGCUGCUCAGCAGGCUGAGGGGCCAGCACGACGGCUUCACACCUUGGGGGACUGCUGACCCAGCCUGCCAGGGACGGCGCUGCACGUUCAGCCGUGCACCCAGGCCCCACAUCAGGCCCCCUAGCUCUAGAACCAUGCCUGGGCAGUGCUGCCCAUCGGUCGAGGGAUCACCCUUCGGAGCAGGCUGCCUCUCCGCCAGCCUGCUCCCUUCAGUCUCUCUGCUGAGCCUGGCUCUGCCCAUGCUGCCGGCCAUGCAUCUCCACCUCUUGCCCUUCCCACCUUCAGCUCAACCACUCCAGUCUGAGAGACUCUUCUCAGGCCUCACUGGACCCCUUUAGAAUGGGUGAUCCCCAUCUUGCACAAAGGAUUAUGACAGCUACUGGUGGAUGGCCAAACCCUGCCAGGCAGUGAGAGAAGCCCCCUCAAGAGACCCCCAUCCCCUGCUUUCAUCUGUCCCCAGAUCUCCCAGCAUCAGUCCCCAGUGGGCAAUGUCCAUCCUUCUUGAACCUGGGCUUUCCCUUCCAUAUGCACCAUUUCCAGCCACACAGUAAGAGCUCGAUGAGGCUUGUUAAAUGAACAAAUGCAUCAAAUGAACAAACAAGGCUGAUCAGCUGAUAGGUACUAUGGGGUGUCUGCACUGGAAAACCACUCCCCACCCCACCAGUCUCUAAGGAAACUAUUUUAUAUGCUCAAGUUAUGCCCAGGUGCUCCGGGUGACCAGCCACCGGCUCAUGCCUCCCUGAAGUCCUCAUGAAACAGCAUGAGCAUGGCACGGGUGUCACCUGUUAUGCAAGUAGCCUACGCAUGAACACAGCUGGCUUGCCUUCCUCAAGCAGGGCAGAGGCAGGGGCACAGUACACGGGUUUUACACAGGU
ensembl:lncRNA